CAGUCCAUGGGGUCGCAAAGAGUCAGACACAACUGAGCAAAUUCACUUCACUUUUAGCAUCUGGAGCGAUUUGUUUUGUAGUUGUAGAUAAUUGAGAACCUUGCCAAAUGUGGAUUCUCUAACAAUAAUCUGCUGCAACUGCCAAGGACCUAGGAUUUGGCACUUUCAACAAGAUCCAGGUGAUUCCAAUGGACACCCCUGUGGUCUACAAGGAGGAGGCAGAUCGGGUCCCACCCGGCUAUAGGGAGAGGCAGUCACGCAAACCAGCUCCUCCUCAGCAGCAUCUGUGCCCAGCAGCCUCAGCGGGGUACCAGAGCAGACAGCCUGCCAGGACGGAGGGGCAAGGACACUCCUGCCCAGUGACGGCGACAACCUGAGCAACAUACGUGGCAGGGAGGGAAGCGUGGUGGACUCCCGAAGGUUCUGUGAGCCUGGAGCCUCCUGUCAUCAAUUUAAAGUCAAUGUGAUCAUUUUAUGAGAAGAACAUCCUGACCAUUUAAUAUACUGAACUCAUUCACCGAGGUUGGCACAGACACCUGCAGUCCAGGGAGGUGACUCUCGGCAGUCAGUCUUGGCGGCAGCAGUGGUUGGUAAGAGUUUCCAUAUUGUGGUGAAUCUGUGUGUGGCUGUAAUGGGGGCUUCCAUCUGUGAUCCUGGAAGAGACACGUCCUGGAGCAUAAGCCUGGUCACUCGUUGUCUUGGGAGGAAAUUCAAUUCAGACCCUGGGCAGAAGGACAUCCAUAUAGCACAACAGAUAAUCUCCUCAAGACC